rnacentral:tmRNA from 1 species
GGGGCUGACUUGGCUUUGACAGCGUGUAGAGGUGGUAGGUAAGCAUGCAGAGCGAUGAUGGCAAUGCUCUUUAAUAUCAGUCAUUACUUAAAUUUAACUGGCGAAAACAACUACGCUCUCGCUGCCUGAUUGAAGUAUAGUAGAUCGGCUUAAUUUCGGCCCAAGGGGUUGAAACGAGACAUCACCCGGUAGCCCUUUCUGCGAGGCUUAUCGACAUGGUGGUGCUGGCAAAUCGGAGAUAGAGUGCGGCAUGCCGCGGGCGGCGCUCGAAAUUUAGCGGAUAAGUCGCCGAUUGGUAGUCAGGAGCCUGUCGUCGGUCGAAAACCAAGUCCCGACUAAGCAUGUAGAAAGCUUAUUAGUUCCGCGUUUGGACGAGGGUUCAAUCCCCUCCAGCUCCACA